GACGAACGCUGGCGGCGUGCCUAAUACAUGCAAGUUGAGCGCUGAAGGUUGGUACUUGUACCAACUGGAUGAGCAGCGAACGGGUGAGUAACGCGUGGGGAAUCUGCCUUUGAGCGGGGGACAACAUUUGGAAACGAAUGCUAAUACCGCAUAAAAACUUUAAACACAAGUUUUAAGUUUGAAAGAUGCAAUUGCAUCACUCAAAGAUGAUCCCGCGUUGUAUUAGCUAGUUGGUGAGGUAAAGGCUCACCAAGGCGAUGAUACAUAGCCGACCUGAGAGGGUGAUCGGCCACAUUGGGACUGAGACACGGCCCAAACUCCUACGGGAGGCAGCAGUAGGGAAUCUUCGGCAAUGGACGGAAGUCUGACCGAGCAACGCCGCGUGAGUGAAGAAGGUUUUCGGAUCGUAAAACUCUGUUGGUAGAGAAGAACGUUGGUGAGAGUGGAAAGCUCAUCAAGUGACGGUAACUACCCAGAAAGGGACGGCUAACUACGUG
rnacentral:rRNA from 1 species